GGAGAGGUGUCCGAGUGGUUGAAGGAGGCGGUCUUGAAAACCGUUGAACCGCGAGGUUCCGGGGGUUCGAAUCCCCCCUUCUCCG
rnacentral:tRNA from 1 species